GGGCGAUUAGCUCAGUGGUAGAGCACUGCCUUCACACGGCAGGGGUCGCAGGUUCAAGCCCUGCAUCGCCCA
rnacentral:tRNA from 1 species